rnacentral:guide_RNA from 1 species
AAAUAUACAUAACAAAUGAUGAGUGCGUAAAUGGCAGUGUGAGAUUAU